AUUGAACGCUGGCGGCAGGCUUAACACAUGCAAGUCGAGCGGGGGAAGGUAGCUUGCUACCGGACCUAGCGGCGGACGGGUGAGUAAUGCUUAGGAAUCUGCCUAGUAGUGGGGGACAACAUCUCGAAAGGGAUGCUAAUACCGCAUACGUCCUACGGGAGAAAGCAGGGGAUCUCCGGACCUCGCGCUAAUAGAUGAGCCUAAGUCGGAUUAGCUAGUUGGUGGGGUAAAGGCCUACCAAGGCGACGAUCUGUAGCGGGUCUGAGAGGAUGAUCCGCCACACUGGGACUGAGACACGGCCCAGACUCCUACGGGAGGCAGCAGUGGGGAAUAUUGGACAAUGGGGGGAACCCUGAUCCAGCCAUGCCGCGUGUGUGAAGAAGGCCUUAUGGUUGUAAAGCACAUUAAGCGAGGAGGAGGCUACUUUAGUUAAUACCUAGAGAUAGUGGACGUUACUCGCAGAAUAAGCACCGGCUAACUCUGUGCCAGCAGCCGCCGUAA
rnacentral:rRNA from 1 species